UAUCCAUAGAAUAAGCCCCGGCUAACUACGUGCCAGCAGCAGCGGUAAUACGUAGGGGGCAAGCGUUAUCCGGAAUUACUGGGUGUAAAGGGUGAGUAGGCGGCAUGUUAAGUUAGGUGUGAAAGUCCACGGCUCAACUGUGGGAUUGCACUUAAAACUAGCAAGCUAGAGUACAGGAGAGGUAAGCGGAACUGUUAGUGUAGCGGUGAAAUGCAUAGAUAUUAAUAGGAACACCAGUGGCGAAGGCGGCUUACUGGACUGACACUGACGCUGAUGCACGAAAGCGUGGGGAGCGAACAGGAUUAGAUACCCUGGUAGUCCACGCUGUAAACGAUGAGUGCUAGGUGUCGGGGAGGAAUCCUCGGUGCCGUAGUUAACGCAAUAAGCACUCCACCUGGGGAGUACGGUCGCAAGGCUGAAACU
rnacentral:rRNA from 2 species